rnacentral:lncRNA from 1 species
UCUGCUUAAUAUAGGCUCUCAACUAUGUAGAUACCAUGAUUGAUACUUGUAUAUAAAGUUUGCACUUAACCCAUUAAAAAGCUCUGCAACUGUUGAAAAAACCUUAACAAUAAAUUCUUUUUUUGAUAAACCUUAACAAGAGAUUUAUUAUUCCAGGGCGUUGAGGAACACAACUCCUUGGCUUUUACAGGUGCUCUUCAUUUUGUUCGGGCACCAGCCAGUUCUUGGUCGUUAAACUGUGAUCUCAGAGGUAGGUAAGAAGAUCAACUAACCAUUCUCUAAUCCAACAAACCAAGACAAAUAUGCAUACUGCACAACCCAAUAAAUACAUCUGCAAUUCUCAUUCAAGCUCUCACUCUCUCUCACAAGAGAUCAACAGAACACUGUUACAUAUUAUCUCUCUCCUCUUUCCACUCAUCCAUCAAGGUUGCUUCUCCAUUGCCAAUAGUACCCUCUAGGACUUGACACUUUCCUCUUUCCUAUUUCUAUCCAUCCAACACAGUUUCUCCAUUCCAAUACUUUUUGUCUCCUCUCCCUAACACCGUUUCUCCAUUCUAAAACUCUCUCCCCCCCUCUCCAGCCAUGGGUUCGACAGGUUCUUCCUCCUAUCAUUGCCCAUGGCUCUAAUUGUGCUCAACAUUGAUGUUUGCCUAGAGACACGCCAGGUUCUUCCUCCUAUCAUUGCUCAUGGCUCUAAUUGUGCUCAACAUUGAUGUUUGCCUAGAGACGCGCCGGCUACAAGACACCCCACCUCUCCCAAAGCCCACGCUGUCCCCCUCUGCCCUCAACAAUUCCUACAAUCCCCACCAUCCCACCCCUCCCGAAACCCACAUUCCCUCCUCUACCCUCAUCCAUCAGUUCCAUCCUUACCCACCACCCCACCACUCCUGAAGCCAACACUGCCUCCACUGCCCUCCAGAAUUCCAACAAUUCCCACCUCACCCCUCCCAAAGCCAACAUUGCCCCCUAUGCCCUCAGCUAUCCCGGAAAUCCCAACAUCAAUCCCUAAUAUCCCCACAACCUCCCAAAAUCCCAACCACUAGCCCUCCAUUGCCGACACUCCCCACCUUGGUGACAACCCCAAUGCCCUCAACUGUUCCGAAGAUGCCAACAUCCAUCCCUCCUAUGCCCUCCCUCCCUAACUUAGGGAGCCUCAGCAAUCCCUAAAAUCCCAAUCACUAUCCCCCCCAUGCCAUCCCUCCCUUCCUCACCAAUGCCCCCAAUGCCCUCACCAUCCCUCCCUUCCUUGCUGACAAGCCCAAUGCCCUCAAGAAUUCCAAAAAUCCCCACCACCAUGCCUCCCAUGCCCACAAUACCCACAACAAUGCCAAAAAUCUCACCCACAAUCCCUCCCAUGCCUUCCAUUCUUACCCUUCAGUUUCCCCCCAUCCCCUUUCAAAGCCCACCACCCCCUACAAAGGCUUGAGAUGCCAAGUGGUAAAACCUCAUGCACCAAUGCAUGCCUCCAUCGUGCCCCAUUGUCCAUAGAUCAUCAUACAGCAUGGGACAUGGCGAGCCAACAAGGUGCCUAGGUGCUGGUCACUUGCUUCACACGCAUGGAUGGCUUGUUGUGUUGUGGACCUCAGGAAGAGAUUAUCUUUUGUUGUUUGCCUAUUAUGUGAGAAUUUUCUUCUAUACUAUUGUAGAUGUUGUUGCUGUUACUGGUACCAUUUACUAUUAUAAAUAUCAAUAUUGAUUAUUAUUUUUAUUCUUAUUCUUAGUGUUUGUAUCUAACAAGCACAUGUGUGCUUCUUGUAUUUAAUAGUUUGUAAUGAGUAUAGUUAAUUGAUUUUAUAGGCAUUAUUGUUC